rnacentral:tRNA from 1 species
GCAACACCCUUUCAGCUCAUUGGUCGAGCGUUGGCUUUGGAAGCCACAGGUCGGUGGUUUAAGUCCACCCGGGAGCA